rnacentral:lncRNA from 1 species
UUACCUAUAUAUUUCACAUUAUAUAUCCUUUCAUUGAAUUACAUUUUUUCACUUCCAUGUUUUAAACACACUUCCAUGUUUUAAACAAUGUUUUUGUUUAUUCCUGAUUUAAUGAGGGUCUAUUUUCCGUGGGUUCGGUCGCUGUGUACCUUUCAUGUCAACAGCUAACUCACAGGGUAGAUUUAUUUUUAGAUUACCACAGUUUAAAGGUUUAACG